UACGGAGGAUGCGAGCGUUAUCCGGAUUUAUUGGGUUUAAAGGGUGCGCAGGUUGUUUGAUAAGUCAGUGGUGAAAGUCUGUCGCUUAACGGUAGGAUUGCCAUUGAUACUGUUAGACUUGAAUAUGGAUGAGGUAGGCGGAAUGUGUAGUGUAGCGGUGAAAUGCAUAGAUAUUACACAGAACACCGAUUGCGAAGGCAGCUUACUAAUCCAUCAUUGACGCUGAGGCACGAAAGCGUGGGGAUCGAACA
rnacentral:rRNA from 1 species